UAGAAGUUGCAGCCGUGUUUUCCGCUCGUAAGUCAGACAUCAACACAAGAGGAGACGACUGUAAGACGGAGCAGAGCGCUGUGUCCUCCAGAGACGAUCACGGGGGUCUGCUGGUUACGGGACGUCCAGCAGAGAAGGACCUCCACCCUCUGUCCACCUUCAUGAUUCUGAGAUCUCAGCAGACGGCUACGGUGACUGCAACACCUCAGAGCUCAACUCCAGCACUAACGAUGGACCAACAAAAACCUCCAUCUGAGCACCAUCAGCCUCCUCCACUGCAGAUACAAAGAUCAGAUCAGAGGCCGAGGUAUACGAGUGAUGCUGUGUCAGGAAAUGCUAGCAGAGAGCAGAAAGCAGCUGGUCAGGUGACGGGUCAACACAUCCCUCAGGACAGACGGGACAGCAGAGUAGUACAGGUCCAAGCUACCGACAGUCAGCUGCGUGCCCACUGUGAGCUGCUGGCCUUCGCUCAGCCUUGUUUAAACUCAGCCAGACAGCUGGGGCUCAACGUCCCGGUGCGAGGAGACUUCAGCUGCCUGGCCCCGGACCAAACACACUUCCUCCUCAAACAGCAGGAGAAGGCGCUCUGCGGGAGACAUGCACAGAGUGCAGAGCAGCACAGAGGCACAAAAUAUUACUUUAUAACCCAGAAACACAUUUGUACAACCUUAUGUUUGGUUUGUAAUUGUUUAUUUUAG
rnacentral:lncRNA from 1 species